rnacentral:rRNA from 1 species
UACGUAGGGUGCGAGCGUUAAUCGGAAUUACUGGGCGUAAAGCGUGCGCAGGCGGUUUGUUAAGUCUGAUGUGAAAGCCCCGGGCUCAACCUGGGAAUGGCAUUGGAAACUGUCCAGCUGGAGUGUGGCAGAGGGGGGUGGAAUUCCGCGUGUAGCAGUGAAAUGCGUAGAGAUGCGGAGGAACACCGAUGGCGAAGGCAGCCCCCUGGGCCAACACUGACGCUCAGGCACGAAAGCGUGGGGAGCAAACAGG